UUGAGUCUAUUCUGUUCAAAGACUUGAUCAAACAAGUUGGUAAAGCUGUCUAAAUUGAUUCGCGAAUCAGUUUGAAUGAUUUGUUCAGUUCCUGCACGCGCUGAAUCGUUUGAAGCGGUUCUCACUCGGAGCGGAUGAAGUGGCAGUGGACCUACAGUCAAUUAAAAGCAAAUCUGCAAAUGCAUACAGUUGUCUGCCAGCGAUGAAGAUCUUUAUUAGUUGAGCUGCGUAUGCUGUCUGUGAACAAUUCCACAGAAUCCACAAAAUGAUUUAGACAUCCACACAGUCAUUGUUGGGAACUGUCAUGAUCGAACAGAGAUAUACAUGCACGGACUCCAGUGAAGAUACUCACCUGUCUCCAGCGUGUUCUCCUCGUCUCCUGUGAGUUACUCUGUGUCUGAAUCUGCUUCAAGUCUGCCAGCGAUCCACCAUUCCUGCAAAUACAAGACAAGUAUCAGUUCUACGAUCACAUCUGUCAACUUAUCUGUCAACUGCCAAUGAUUUAAAGCGAGUAAAUGUAAAAGAACUAUGUCAAAAUCAUUUAAACAUAUGCCACAU